rnacentral:rRNA from 1 species
GACGUAGGAUGCGAGCGUUGUCCGGAUUUAUUGGGCGUAAAGAGUUCGUAGGCGGUUCGUUAAGUCUGAUGUUAAAGACUGGGGCCCAACCCUGGGAGUGCAUUGGAUACUGGCGGACUGGAGUGCAGUAGAGGCAAGCGGAAUUCCAGGUGUAGCGGUGAAAUGCGUAGAUAUCAGGAGGAACACCGGUGGCGAAGGCGGCAUCCUGGACCGGCAUUGACGCUGAGGCGCGAAAGCCAGGGGAGCAAACGGG